ACUCCUACGGGAGGCAGCAGUGGGGAAUCUUGGACAAUGGGGGCGAACCCUGAUCCAGCCAUGCCGCGUGAGUGAAGAAGGCCUUAGGGUCGUAAAGCUCUUUCGCCUGUGAAGAUAAUGACGGUAGCAGGUAAAGAAACCCCGGCUAACUCCGUGCCAGCAGCCGCGGUAAUACGGAGGGGUUAGCGUUGUUCGGAAUUACUGGGGCGUAAAGCGCGCGUAGGCGGACCAGAAAGUUGGGGGUGAAAUCCCGGGGCUCAACCCCGGAACUGCCUCCAAAACUCCUGGUCUUGAGUUCGAGAGAGGUGAGUGGAAUUCCGAGUGUAGAGGUGAAAUUCGUAGAUAUUCGGAGGAACACCAGUGGCGAAGGCGGCUCACUGGCUCGAUACUGACGCUGAGGUGCGAAAGUGUGGGGAGCAAACAGGAUUAGAUACCCUGGUAGGACAGUG
rnacentral:rRNA from 1 species